GUAUCAAUUUAAAGGGGAAAUUGCUUAUAUACCCUUAAAAGGUUUUCGACUUUUUGAUUUACCUCUCUUAGAAAGCUAAUAUUAAAAAUACUCUUUCUACGUUCCAACCUAUUUUAAAUAUAGUCUUAAAAUUAAAUUCUGUUAAUGAACUAUUAAUAAUAGGGGCAUAAAAUGUAUUUUGAUUUUUGGUCUUUUAAAUAUACUCUUCUACUAUAACUAGCAUUUCUUAUUUGUCCUUAAGAGCAAAAGAGAUAUUUAUUUUUUUUAAUCUCUAGUAGAUAUUUAACUCACGUUUAAACUAAGUUAAUUCAACGGUUGGUAACUGUAGAAAUAUUUUAGAGUAACAGAGAACAUAUAAGGGAUAUAUAGUGGAAAGAAAAAAAAAGGGAUAAAUAAAAUAUUUUAGAAGUUUUGAGAGGUAUAAUG
rnacentral:lncRNA from 1 species